rnacentral:rRNA from 1 species
AGAGGGUGCAAGCGUUAAUCGGAAUUACUGGGCGUAAAGGGCGCGUAGGUGGUUAGUUAAGUCAAAUGUGAAAUCCCCGAGCUCAACUUGGGAAUUGCAUCUGAUACUGGCUAGCUAGAGUACAGUAGAGGGAAGUGGAAUUUCCGGUGUAGCGGUGAGAUGCGUAGAUAUCGGAAGGAACACCAGUGGCGAAGGCGACUUCCUGGACUGAUACUGACACUGAGGCGCGAAAGCGUGGGGGAGCGAACAGGAUUAGAUACCCUGGUAGUCCACGCCGUAAACGAUGAGAACUAGCUGUUGGGAAAAUUUACUUUCUCAGUGGCGCAGCUAACGCAAUAAGUUCUCCGCCUGGGAGUACGGCCGCAAGGUUA